rnacentral:rRNA from 1 species
UACGGAGGGGGCUAGCGUUGUUCGGAAUGACUGGGCGUAAAGGGCGCGUAGGCGGCGAUCCAAGUUAGAUGUGAAAGGCCUGGGCUCAACCCGGGAACUGCAUUUGAUACUGGAUUGCUUGAGUCCGGGAGAGGAGAGUGGAAUUCCUGGUGUAGCGGUGAAAUGCGCAGAUAUCAGGAAGAACACCCGUGGCGAAAGCGGCUCUCUGGAACGGUACUGACGCUGAGACGCGAAAGCGUGGGGAGCGAACAGG